GACGUAGGGCGCGAGCGUUGUCCGGAUUUAUUGGGCGUAAAGAGCUCGUAGGCGGCUUGUUGCGUCAGCUGUGAAAACCCGCAGCUCAACUGUGGGCUUGCAGCUGAUACGGGCAGGCUUGAGUUCGGUAGGGGAGACUGGAAUUCCUGGUGUAGCGGUGAAAUGCGUAGAUAUCCGGAGGAACACCAGUGGCGAAGGCGACUUUCUGGCCUGUUCUUGACGCUGAGGCGCGAAAGCUAGGGGAGCAAACGGG
rnacentral:rRNA from 1 species